CAGCAGCCGCGGGAAUACAGAGGGUGCGAGCGUUAAUCGGAUUUACUGGGCGUAAAGCGUGCGUAGGCGGCUUCUUAAGUCGGAUGUGAAAUCCCUGAGCUUAACUUAGGAAUUGCAUUCGAUACUGGGAAGCUAGAGUAUGGGAGAGGAUGGUAGAAUUUCAGGUGUAGCGGUGAAAUGCGUAGAGAUCUGGAGGAAUACCGAUGGCGAAGGCAGCCAUCUGGCCUAAUACUGACGCUGAGGUACGAAAGCAUGGGGAGCAAACAGGAUUAGAUACCCCUGUAGUCCCUGUCUCUUAUAC
rnacentral:rRNA from 1 species